ACGAACCGAUACCGGAGGCGAUCCAGGAAGGAUCGGGGGAUGACCCGCACUGGCGGGCGGCUGCUCAGAGAGCACAACCGAUACCCCCACAACACCUCAACAGCGACCCGCCCCGGCGCUCAGGUAUCGUUCC
rnacentral:sRNA from 12 species